UAUUCGAGUAGGGAAUAUGAGGCUUCAGGGAAAACGCAACAACGAAAGUGAAUGGUGAUACAUAUGGUAUAACACUUGCAUGGCGCAGCUAAAUUCACCCUACACCUAUAGAGGCAUUCUCAUUUCUAUGUCAAUCGAAAAAAAAUUGAGUAACAACCCUUCAAUAUCCACCCAAGACAUUGAUGAUUGAACAUAAUAUCAAGUUCCCUCGACCAUCAGAUCCCUUGUGUGACAUAGCCAUACUUACACGGAACUCUUUGUGUAAACUAGUAAAAAACAUCUUUAGGGCUUCAGUAUCGAUCUUAACGGUGCAUGCAUGGAUGCGUACCCCUUGGCAACACCAGCACUGUAGGGCUUCUAUUGUCAUUGGGCCCUAAAAAUUUCCUUCUAUUGUCAUUGGGCCCUGAAAAUUUCCUGAGCUAUCGCGACAAACCGCGCUUGAGCCAUCAAAGCUGAAAUAAACUCUUUCG
rnacentral:lncRNA from 1 species